GACGAACGCUGGCGGCGUGCUUAACACAUGCAAGUCGAACGGUGAAGCGCUUGCCUUUUUGGUGGGUGUGGAUGAGUGGCGAACGGGUGAGUAACACGUGAGUAACCUGCCCUCUUCUUCUGGAUAACCUCAUGAAAGUGGGGCUAAUACGGGGUAUUCCGGGUCUGUCGCAUGGCGGGUUUGGGAAAGAUUGCGCCUUUGGGUGUUUUCGGUGGGGGAUGGGCUCGCGGCCUAUCAGCUUGUUGGUGGGGUGAUGGCCUACCAAGGCGGUGACGGGUAGCCGGCCUGAGAGGGUGGACGGCCACACUGGGACUGAGACACGGCCCAGACUCCUGCGGGAGACAGCAGUGGGGAAUAUUGCACAAUGGGCGCAAGCCUGAUGCAGCGACGCCGCGUGAGGGAUGGAGGCCUUCGGGUUGUGAACCUCUUUCGCCAGUGAAGCAGGCCUGCUCCUGUGUGGGUGGGUUGACGGUAGCUGGAUAAGAAGCGCCGGCUAACUACGUG
rnacentral:rRNA from 1 species